rnacentral:rRNA from 1 species
GAUGAACGCUGGCGGCGUGCCUAAUACAUGCAAGUAGAACGCUGAAGCUUGGUGCUUGCACCGAGCGGAUGAGUUGCGAACGGGUGAGUAACGCGUAGGUAACCUGCCUCUUAGCGGGGGAUAACUAUUGGAAACGAUAGCUAAUACCGCAUAAAAGUCGACAUCGCAUGAUGUUGACUUGAAAGGUGCAAUUGCAUCACUAAGAGAUGGACCUGCGUUGUAUUAGCUAGUUGGUGAGGUAACGGCUCACCAAGGCGACGAUACAUAGCCGACCUGAGAGGGUGAUCGGCCACACUGGGACUGAGACACGGCCCAGACUCCUACGGGAGGCAGCAGUAGGGAAUCUUCGGCAAUGGGGGCAACCCUGACCGAGCAACGCCGCGUGAGUGAAGAAGGUUGUCGGAUCGUAAAGCUCUGUUGUAAGAGAAGAACGAGUGUGAGAGUGGAAAGUUCACACUGUGACGGUAACUUACCAGAAAGGGACGGCUAACUACGUG